rnacentral:lncRNA from 1 species
GGAGUAAGAAGGAUUUAAAGAUCUUCUCUUUCUAUUUGAUGGGGUACUCUUAUGGCAUGUAGGGAUGUCAUAUGAUUAAAUCCCAUGAAAAAAAAUAUGAAAGAAAAAACUUACUUUUCUAUAAAAUCUUAGAUCUUGAAAUCCUAGAUUUGUUGUAUGUGAUACAAUGUUGUAUGAAAAGUAAAAUAUCUAAUCUAUAUAAUUAAAAUUAUUUUAAUCAUGAGAAAAUAAAAUCUAAAAUUAUAAAAGAUUUUAGAUAUGAUAUAAAAAAAUAUUUAUGAUUGAUUUUAUUUUAAAAUUAUGCAAGAUUUUUUAGAUCUGAAACUCUUUAAAAUGUGCUCGCACAACUACUGAGUCGAUC